rnacentral:rRNA from 1 species
UACGUAGGGGGCAAGCGUUGUCCGGAUUUAUUGGGCGUAAAGGGGCGCGCAGGCGGCGCUUCAAGUCCGUUGUGAAAUUUCAGGGCUUAACCCUGACGGGUCAACGGAAACUGAAGGGCUAGAGUGCAGCAGAGGAAAGCGGAAUUCCCGGUGUAGUGGUGAAAUGCGUAGAUAUCGGGAGGAACACCAGAGGCGAAAGCGGCUUUCUGGG